rnacentral:lncRNA from 1 species
GCAUUUGGGGUUCUUCUUUUAUUUUGGUUCCGUAGUCGGACCUUGUUUGUAUAUGUAUGAUGUAAUGCUUUAUUCAUGUAAUUGUGUGAAGUGGCGAUUGUAAGCCAACUAUGUAUCUUUUUCCCUUAUGCAUUACAUGGGUUGUGUGAAGAUUACCUCACUAGCGACAUUGCUUUCAAUGCGGUUAUGCCUCUAAGUCGUGCUUCGACACGUGGGAGAUAUAACCGCAUCGAGGGCGUUACAAGUUGGUAAUCAGAGCCUUCCCCGACCUUUGGAGCCCCAUUGCUUGAUCGUUUUUAGCGGCCGAGUUGUGUCUAGAAAAAUGUUUUGAGUCAUUUAGGAAUUAUAUAUCGGAGAGUUUAGGAAUUCUUUUUACUUCCCAGUCUCCUCAUCUCUCUGGUAAGGAAUCCUGACGUAGAGUUUUGACUCUUCUCUUGUCAAAUUUCACUAAAAAAAUUUAGGAUCACACGGGUAUCUUGGAAUCGUUCCGAUGGUUUUAUGAUGAGAACAUUGUCUUGGUGCCUCCUGUCAGGGGUUUUGUGGAAGUGUCCCGGGGAGUUGAGCUCUGAGGUGUUGUCGUCAUAAUUUUAUCGUUGCAGUUCUGGAAUACCUGAGUUUAGUACGUCGACAUCGAAAAUCUCUUUUAUGCAGUUCGUUGGUGAGAUAACCUCGACGCCACCCAGUACUGGGGCGGGAGUUCGGGAGUAUUGCCAUAACUUGUAUAACGGAUGCUUUUCGAAGGUUGAGGUAGACGAUUUCCGAAGGUUUCUUGGUUAUGUGUUGAAGGAUGGAUACAGCUGGAUGUAGGAUUUGCUAGUUUUGGGUGAGAUAUUAUGCUUCCCCUGUAUCCCCAACACCUGAUUGCAUAACCGGAAAGUUUCGGGAGUUUAUAAGUGGGAAUUCAAGUAGGUCUUAGGAUAUGUUUCCGACAGACGUAUGAUAUGAAAUUGGGGUUCGACGUCUAGUGGUCCGCCUAUUCACGGUCGGUUUUACAGUGGUCUCGUUGUGUCUUAAAGAGUCCUUGGCUAUGCCGACUCAGGGACGCUUCGUAUGUCAUGUGCACUGCCUUGUACAUGAUGGUGCUGUAUGAUCGAGCCCGUGUAGGCCCCACCACGAAAACUUCGGACGAAAUCUCUAUCAUAUGUUUGUUCUGGCUUAUUCGGCAAGCCAAUCCUUGUUUUGUUUUUGAGUUGUGGUAUUCGAGUUGCUUCGAAGUCAAGUGUUGAUUCCAUACCUUUCCUAGACGGUGUUCUCAUACUCCAAUGUGAUUACAAAUCCUUCAUGAUAAUCGAGAUUGUCAUGUCAAUCCUUUGCACCGAUGUGUUUCUCUUCAAGUGGUUCCAAUCUUUUCAACAUCAACAAGAUCAAUUAUUAGUUCUUCUCAACGGUGUUUGUUUCAUUCGUCUUCAAGCUGCCUUUGUUUUCCCGCCCACCCUCCCUUUUUCUUCGAGGACUAAGAUUUCUUAAUCAAGUAUCCAUCGUAUUGAUGCGAAGUCUCUCCAUUCUUUUCUAUCAUUACUCUUACCCAGUGGUUCCCUUGAAGGUGUUCUUCUAGUUCACCAUUAUUCAUUCUUUUUCUUCUCCGGUGGAUUCAAUUCAAGUUUUCUGUGUUGAUCACAUCCUUUCCUCGUUUUAAAUGUCUUCUCUUGCCGGCGUACCUCUUAAUCAUUCACCUCUCGCUAUUCAUUUGUUCCGGAGUGCUGAAGAUAUUUCGAAGAUUUGUGUUUUCACUUUGCAUCCGAUCAAGCUAUUUCGAAGUCCUAUCUUAUUCAAGCCAUUUAAUUCAACUGGUGCAAUCUCUCCUUCAAAUCAUUCUACGAUGUUUUCUUUUGAGUGCGCCCUAACCCACGGGUCUUUUCCCAGGAUCUUACCUGACUCUUCUAAUUUUUUCCCGGAGUUACUCGCAAAUUCUUUUCGAAGUUUGACGUAAGAAUGAUUCAUCAUCAGUCAUAUGUAUUUCUCCAAGUUCUUUCAAAUUCUUUUCAUCGUUGGCUCAACCUCUUCGUUUUGAUUCUUCCGGAGUGCCUAAAUAAGUCGUGCUGGUAUUUCUCGUCGUCAUUCUCAGUGGAAGACCGAAGAAGAUUCUUCUUUCAACCUUGCUCCGUUCUCUUCAAGAUUCGUCACUCGAGAUUGUUGCCAUCCUCUCAUAAUUCUUUUGAUUGUCAGAAUUCUUUUCACUCUUUCGGAGCAAUUCAAGAGUCUUCUCAGUUUGUUAUCCGGAGGCCAUCAAUUCAAGUUUAUUCAUUCUCAGCUUUCAUUUUUCAUUCUCAAAUCUUACCGGUGCAUCAAUCUAAUAUACUCUACAUCUCUUCGUUCUGAUGUAUCUAAAUCCCCUCAAGCUUCUUCGUUCAUUUGCUAAUUCUUCCUGGUGAUUCUUUAUCUUUUCUUCGUUUAUUUUAAUUCUUACGGUGGUUCGUGCAAGAGUUCUCGUCAUUCGUUAUCAUAUUAAUUCAUUUGUUGUUUUCAAUCCUACCGGUGGAUUCGUCAAAGACAUUCUCAAGUUUAUGUUAUAUCUCUCUUAAUCCUUGAUACGAGAAUAAGUAGUGUGCCAAAUCCGUUGAUUGUCAUCAAUUUAAUUGGUGAAGGUUAAGCAUAAUGUAAUUCUUAUUCUUGUUUCAUCCAAGUGCCUAAUUUCCUAUUCCGGAGGCUCAUCAAAGUCCUGAAUUCAAUUGUGCAUCUUCUCUUUUUUCGGAGUUCUCAUGAAGGUUCUACAUGAUGGUUCAUCUAUGAUUUAAUUCAUUCUCGAAGUGUUCAUCAAGAUUCUUUUCAAAGAAUCUCAAGCUUUCUUCAUAUUGUAAUCCAGAGUGCAAUUCUUUCUUCCGUAUCAUGGGAGGUGGUAUUAUGUCAUUCUUGAUAAUUUGAAUUCAUGUUUCAUGAUUCACAUGUUGUCAUGAACGAGAUAUUUUAAAUCCAUCAAUCUCUUCAUUGCUAUUAUCUUGGUUUAUAUUUCACCUAAAGCCUUCUCUAAGGUUUGUUGCUAUUAUGGUGCUUAUAAUUGAUCCAAGUUCUUCAUUUAUCCUUUCUAGUGCGAUAUACUUUCUCACCAAUUAGUUCAUAUCAAUCCAAUUCUUUUUCCGUGAGUGGCAGGUUGUCACCUCAUAAUUCGAGAUGUAUUCCAUAAGACCAUAUCAAGCUUAUUCUUUUCGUUGUGGGUUUUCCAACAAUUCCGUUCUAGCAUUUGUUGUAAGCGUGCUACCUCGAGAUCUUGGUUUCCUUCGUUCAUCCCAUUCCAUUCUUACUUUUGUUCCGGAGGCAUUGCGAUGUUGUUUUUCUUCAACCAUCAUCUCGUUUCAUCUAAGAUCAUGUUCUUUCCUAUGCUUAUCCAUCUAACCAGAGUGUUGUGCCCUUUUGCUCAAGUUCUUUUCAUUUUAUCAAGUUGUUGACUUCCAUUUCAAACGGAGUGCUGCCCAAAUUUGUUCUUCCUUGUUCCUCUUUCCUAACGGGGUGUUUUCAACUUCGUUCAUCUCCAUUGUAUUCUUUUCUCGAAAUGGCUUAACCUUUUCAAGGUUCUUUGGUUUCACUCGUUUGUCAAAGGAGCAACUUAGUUUUACCUCUUCUCUUUCUCUUCCGUUUUCCCUCCGGUGCCAUUCUAGAUCUCGGGACGAGAUCCUCUCGUAGUGGUGGAGUGUUGUGACGCCCCGAGACCGAUGUACCAGGUGUCUUCCUGUUAUUCGCUAUUGUUGCCUUGUCAUUGCUUGCGUGUCAUGCAUUGCAUAUCAUGUCAUCAUGUGCAUUUCAUUUGCAUACAUGUUCGUCUCAUGCAUCCGAGCAUUUUCCCCAUUGUCCGUUUUGCAAUCCGGCGCUUCGUUCUUCUCCGGUGGUCAUUUCUACCUUUCUUUCGUGUGUGGGGAUUAAACAUUUCCGGAUUGGACCGAGACUUGCCAAGCGGCCUUGGUUUACUACCGGUAGACCGCCUGUCAAGUUUCGUACCAUUUGGACUUCAUUUGAUACUCCAAUGGUUAACCGAAGGACCGAAAAGGCCUCAUGUGUGUUGUAGCCCAACACCCUUCCAUUUUGGCACAAAACCCACAUAAACCCUCUCCAUCUUCUAAAGCGUUUGAUCACGAUCGUGUGGCCGAAAACCGCACCUCAUUUGGACUCUCCUAGCUCCCUCUACCUAUAAAAAAGUGAUCCCCUCCGAAAUUUGCGGUCUAACCCUAGCCUUCCCCUACCUCGUGCCCCCAGACAAAAAUCCUCAUCGCGCCGGACAUGUCCGCCGCCGCCGGCCACCUCACUCCGGCGAAUCGUGCGCCGCCACCUCAGCCCUGCCGGCGCCCUCACCCACUCAGUGCGCGACACGUCACUGCGCCCCGCCCCCUCUCUCUCCUCACGCGGCCGCGGCCCUGUGGGCCCGAGGCCGGCCCGCCCGGCCCGAGCUUCCCGCGGCCAGCGCCGCUCCUCCCGCGCGGCNNNNNNNNNNNNNNNNNNNNNNNNNNNNNNNNNNNNNNNNNNNNNNNNNNNNNNNNNNNNNNNNNNNNNNNNNNNNNNNNNNNNNNNNNNNNNNNNNNNNNNNNNNNNNNNNNNNNNNNNNNNNNNNNNNNNNNNNNNNNNNNNNNNNNNNNNNNNNNNNNNNNNNNNNNNNNNNNNNNNNNNNNNNNNNNNNNNNNNNNNNNNNNNNNNNNNNNNNNNNNNNNNNNNNNNNNNNNNNNNNNNNNNNNNNNNNNNNNNNNNNNNNNNNNNNNNNNNNNNNNNNNNNNNNNNNNNNNNNNNNNNNNNNNNNNNNNNNNNNNNNNNNNNNNNNCGGAGCUUGCCAGCCACCGCAUCAACUCCAGCCGCCGCCAUCCAUCUCCCGGCCAGAUCCACCAAGUCCGGCGACCUCCAGCUUCAUAUCCGGCGAGUUCGUCGUUCCGGCAAACCUCGUUUUCCACGCCGGCCCGAUCUGGAUCUCAGAUCCAAAAAUCACCUCGGUUGACUUUUGCCCCGAAACCCUAACUAUUUUGCGUUUUUCAUCAUGUUGUUUCUCCGCAUCCGUAGCUCUGUUUUGGGCAUAUAGCAUAUCAAAAUGUUCGCCCCAGAGAGUACAUAAUUUCAUAUCAUUGCAUCAUUUUCAUUUGAGUGCAUCUUGAUGCCCGAAAUGUUGUUAGAAGGGUGCUACUUGAGUUAAUUGUCAGAUCUGCUGCUCCAUUUAGAUAUUUGUCAUUUUUGCCAUGAUUAUUGUGUGCAUGUUAUGCCCAUGAGUUCUACAUAUGUUUUGUUAAGGGUUUUGCCAUCUUUCCAGAGGUGCAACCCAUGUAUUUUUGUGAUGUGUGUGGUGACUAGCAGAAGCUUGCAAAGUGAGGCACUUGGUAAUGCUGAUUUCAGGGACUUAGCAUUUGUUUAUCUCAUUAUGCCCAUGAGUCCUUGAUCUGUUUAUCUCAUUAUGCCAUAUGUUCAUGUUGUUUCCUAGUGAUCCGUGCCUCUUUUGAGGAUGAUCAGUAAGGAUGUUUUGUUAAUCUUAUAGUGCUCUAUCCAUCCUUGUCUUUGUUUGCAAUUAUGGAGCACCCUAGCUUGAGUCAAUCGAGCUCUACUUUUGCUACUUCGUGAAUCUGGGCAGAUUGUCUACUUGUUAGCGAUUUUGCCGAUGAUGUUGUAGUUGAUCCGUGCAUGCUAUGCUAUUGUUAUUGCCAUGUCUAGCUUACAUUUUAUGUAUUCUUGAUGGGUGUAUGCUUAGAUUGUCAUGACUUGCUCUGUAGUGAGUGCAUCGAGCUCGUAAACAUGCCUACUUGAUAUAUGUUUCAGCAUCCUCCAAUUUUCACUAAGUCUGGGAUCUGAUUAUGUUUUUGUCAUGUUCGCAUGCUUGUAAUUGUAUUUUCUGAUCCCUUUUGACUCAAGGUCACUAAGGGACUUUUGUUAAGCUCUUUGAGUAGCUCAAUGCCAUGCUUUACUUUGCCAUGUUCAGGUCCUGUAGCAUAUAGUUUUCAUGCUCCAAAGAGUGCUAUCUGAUCUGAAAUUCCAGACAAGUGUUAAUUUCAGUAAGUCUGAAAUCUGUUUGCCAUAUGCAUUUUUGCCAUGCUUGUUUGAACCUCUUAAUGUAUGAAUUGGUCGUAGCUCAGUGCUAGACUUUUGUUAAGCAUCAUGAAUGGAUUCCUUCCAUGUAUUUUGUUUCCAUGUUUGGGUGCUGUAGCAUGUUCAUCUCGUUGCAUUUAGAUGGCUACUUGCUGUAAAUCGCAGAACAUGGUCAUAUUUGAAUUGCUUGCCAUUUCCAAACCGUAACUCCGAUUCCGGUGAUAUUUAUAUCAUUUUCAAGCGAUUUCAUCUCAUCUUUCCAGUGGCACACUUGGAUUUCCAUGUUGAGGCCAGUUUCAUUCAUUCCUUUGUAAAUCAUGCAUAUGCAUCGCAUACCGCAUCCCACAUAUCAUACGAUGUUCAUGUGUUGGUUGUUUACUAUGUUGUGUGCUUCUUUUCCGGUGUUUGCUUCUUUGGGUUGGAUCCGAUAACGUCGCGUUUGUGAGGACCCGUUCGUCUACGUCCGUUUGUCUUCUUCACGGACACGUUCUUCUUCCUUGCAGGAUUUCAGGCAAGAUGAUCAUACCCUCGAAAUCACUUCUAUCUUUGCUUGCUUAGAUGCUCGCUCUUUUGCUAUGCCUAUGCUGCGAUACCUACCACUUGCUUAUCAUGCCUCCCAUAUUGUUAAACCAAGCCUCUAACCCACCUUGUCCUAGCAAACCGUUGAUUGGCUAUGUUAUCGCUUUGCUCAGCCCCUCUUAUAGCGUUGUUAGUUGUAGGUGAAGAUUGAAGUUUUGUUCCUUGUUGGAACAUGGAGAUGUUGUUCCUUGUUGGAACAUGUUUACUUGUUGGGAUAUCACUAUAUAUCUUAUUUAAUAAAUGCAUCUAUAUACUUGGUAAAGGGUGGAAGGCUCGGCCUUAUGCCUGGUGUUUUGUUCCACUCUUGCCGCCCUAGUUUCCGUCAUAUCGGUGUUAUGUUCCCGGAUUUUGCGUUCCUUACGCGGUUGGGUAAUAAUGGGAACCCUUGACAGUUCGCCUUAAGUAAAGCUCUUCCAGCAAUGCCCAACAUUGGUUUUACCAUUUGCCACCUAGCCUUUUCUUUUCCCUUGGGAGUCGAGCUCCUGAGGGUCAUCAUUAUUUUAGCCCCCCCCCCGGGCCAGUGCUCCUCUGAGUGUUGGUCCAACUGUGCGAUGUCCGGGGCUACCUGGGGCAACUCUGGGCUGGCCUGCCCGAUGUCUGGCUCAUCUGAGUGUGCCCUGAGAAAGAGAUAUGUGCAGCUCCUAUCGGGAUUUGUCGGCACAUUCGGGCGGUGUUGCUGGUUUAGUUUUACCCUGUCGAAAUGUCUUGUAGAACCGGGAUACCGAGUCUGAUCGGAAUGUCUCGGGAGGAGGUCUAUUCCUUCGUUGAUCGUGAGAGCUUGUGAUGGGCUAAGUUGGGAUACCCCUGCAGGGAUUUGAACUUUCAAAAGCCGUGCCCGCGGUUAUGGGCAGAUGGGAAUUUGUUAAUGUUCGGUUGUAGAAAACCUGAAGUUGACCUUAAUUAAAAUGCAUCAACUGCGUUGUAACCGCGAUGGUCUCUUUCCGGCAGAGUCCGGUAAGUGAACACGGUGUUGGAGUUAUGCUUGACGUAGGUUGUUUUAGGAUCACUUCUUGAUCAUACUUCUAUCGACCGUGCUUUGCUUUCUCUUCUCGCUCUCUUUUGUGUAUGUUAGCCACCGUAUAUGCUAGUCGCUUGUUGUAGCUCCACCUCAUACCUUUACCUUACCCAUAAGCUUAAAUAGUCUUGAUCGCGAGGGUGCGAGAUUGCUGAGUCCCUGUGGCUCACAGAUACUUCCAAAACUAGUUUGCAGGUGCCGUUGAGUCCGUGCAGAUGACGCAACCAAGCUCAGGAGGAGCUCGUUGAAGAUCUUGUCCUUUGUCUUGCUUCAUUCUAGUUGAUUAGUAGUGGAGCCCAGUUGGGGUCGAUCUGGGACCUUGUCGCAUUUGGGGUUCUUCUUUUAUUUUGGUUCCGUAGUCGGACCUUGUUUGUAUCUAUAUGAUGUAAUGCUUUAUUCAUGUAAUUGUGUGAAGUGGCGAUUGUAAGCCAACUAUGUAUCUUUUUCCCUUAUGCAUUACAUGGGUUGUGUGAAGAUUACCUCACUUGCGACAUUGCUUUCAAUGCGGUUAUGCCUCUAAGUCG